AGACGCACCACCAGCCUGGCUAGGAAGUAAUGCUUCCCAUGAGCCCCCAAAGAACGGGAAACCAGACACUGCAGGCAAACAUCUCCUUCUUGGGGAGUCUGGAAGCCAGAUAUCCAUACCACCAAUGCUGUGAUGUCAGCCAUGUCUCCCGGCAACCUGUUGCAGGGUGGUGCUCACCCAUGGCACAAGAGGAAACAGAUGGCAAACAUUCCUGGAAACUGAAUUGCCAAGGUCUCUCCACAAGAAGAGGACUAACACACUGAUUUUCAAAAGCCAAGCCAAGCUGACUCCCAGGCCAUGCUGAACAUCUCUGGGACGUUCCUGGUAGAAGCUGCCAGAAGAUGAGCGUAUUAUCCUAAGUUCUCACACCAGGAAGCAACUACACGAGCUCUAAGUCCAGUGCCAGCAGAGUCUGCUGGGCAGCGUUCUACUUCCUCAGGCUGUGUUCCCAGGCAAGAGUUAGGAGGACCAUGGAAUGACACCAUCUGAAGAUCACAAAAGAAACAACCCCACAUUCCAAUGCAGCGUCUGUUUGAUAAGUCAAAAUGAAAUAAAGGCCUUUCAUUGUUUCA
rnacentral:lncRNA from 1 species